rnacentral:lncRNA from 1 species
CGAGGGACAAGAGGGGCCUGAAGCAGGCUUCUGGGAAGACAUCUUUUUUUUUUUUUUUGGUCACUGGAUACAUCAGGCUGCUUUAUGACUUUUGGAAUUGUGAAUCCUAACCUCUGCAUGGCCAGCUAUCUACCAGAUGUGAAACCCUACGCUGGAACAAAUUACCUUUUACCAAUUCAGUUUCUUAAUACUGGGACUCAGCUUGGACUUCUGACCAAUGAAACUGUGGUCCCCAUUGUCACUGGGUAGUCAGCUUGUUUCUCACACUAUCCCCAUCUCUGUUCUCCAAGACUUUGCUGAAGGUAAACCAAAUAUCCCAAGACCCCAGUCAACUAGGGACUCUCACUGGCAACCAACACAACUUCAAGGACUGUGUACCUAACUAUAAACCAGGACUCCUCCAAGCAUAUCACUUGAUGCAAGCCUCUCAAAAACUGACUGGUACUGUUCUGUGCAUGAAGAAAGGAGGUCAGGAUUGAGGGGCGCAUAAGACAAAUGUGUUGUGUGUUCAGUUUCUUCUGCAGAAGAAAGUCCUAACAGUCGCCGUUAGAAUCUAUGGAUGCUCACAUCCUUAUAUAGCAACAUGUGCAUGUCAUCCCCUCACACCCUCACGGAUACUUUUAGUCAUCCGGAGAUGACUUGUAAUGCCUGAUACAAGGUAAAUGCUUUGCAAACAGUCACUGCACUGUAUUGCUUAAAGACUAAUGACAAGAAAAAUGCAAAAACAUGUUUGGCACUGGAACAUCUUGAACUUUAAAAAAUAUUUUCUGUCCGUCCUUGGCUGAAUCCACAGAUGCAGAGCCUACAGAUGUGAAGGGCACACAGCAUGUACUGAGUAACACAAGCACAGAAGGAAGGGCCAGCUGAACUGGGGGCAGUCCUUCUUGUUCAGCCUAUGAACCCAUGGGGGAAGCUCACAUUUCCACAGAGGAACACCAGGGAGAAGUGGGUCAUUUGUAAUAGGUGUUGAAUGCAGG